rnacentral:rRNA from 1 species
AGUCGUCCUGCGCGGAAGAUGUAACGGGGCUCAAGCCGGUUACCGAAGCUGCGGAUGCGUGGCAACACGCAUGGUAGGAGAGCGUUCUGUAGGCCUGUGAAGGUGGCUCGUAAGGCCUGCUGGAGGUAUCAGAAGUGCGAAUGCUGACAUGAGUAGCGUUAAAGGGGAUGAAAAGCCCCCUCGCCGUAAGCGCAAGGUUUCCUACGCAACGUUCAUCGGCGUAGGGUGAGUCGGCCCCUAAGGCGAGGCAGAGAUGCGUAGCUGAUGGGAAACAGGUCAAUAUUCCUGUACCGCUCUGUAGUGCGAUGUGGGGACGGAGAAGGUUAGCUCGGCCGGGUGUUGGAUGUCCCGGUUUAAGCGUGUAGUCGUGGCCCUUAGGCAAAUCCGGGGGUCUUAGAUGAGGCGUGAUGACGAGGCGGCUUGCCGCCGAAGUGAGUGAUACCCUGCUUCCAGGAAAAGCCACUAAGCUUCAGCUACAGACGACCGUACCGCAAACCGACACUGGUGCGCGAGAUGAGUAUUCUCAGGCGCUUGAGAGAACUCGGGAGAAGGAACUCGGCAAAUUGAUACCGUAACUUCGGGAGAAGGUAUGCCCUGUUAGGGUGAUCCGCUUGCGCGGUGAGCCUGAGAGGGUCGCAGAGAAUAGGUGGCUGCGACUGUUUACUAAAAACAUAGCACUCUGCAAACACGAAAGUGGACGUAUAGGGUGUGACGCCUGCCCGGUGCCGGAAGGUUAAGUGAUGGGGUGCAAGCUCUUGAUCGAAGCCCCGGUAACGUCGGCCGUAACAAUAACGGUCCUAAGGUAGGNNNNNNNNNNAGUUCCGACCUGCACGAAUGGCGUAACGAUGGCCACACUGUCUCCUCCCGAGACUCAGCGAAGUUGAAAUGUUUGUGAUGAUGCAAUCUCCCCGCGGAAAGACGGAAAGACCCCAUGAACCUUUACUGUAGCUUUGUAUUGGACUUUGAACCGAUCUGUGUAGGAUAGGUGGGAGGCUAUGAAACCGGGACGCUAGUUCCGGUGGAGCCGUCCUUGAAAUACCACCCUGGUUUGUUUGAGGUUCUAACCUAGGUCCAUUAUCUGGAUCGGGGACAGUGCAUGGUAGGCAGUUUGACUGGGGCGGUCUCCUCCUAAAGCGUAACGGAGGAGUUCGAAGGUACGCUAGGUACGGUCGGAAAUCGUGCUGAUAGUGCAAUG